rfam:Angiostrongylus costaricensis strain Costa Rica genome assembly, scaffold: ACOC_scaffold0002038
GGCCGCGUGGCGCAAUGGGUAACGCGUCUGCCUACGGAGCAGAAGAUUGCAGGUUCGUGUCCUGCCGUGGUCC